rnacentral:rRNA from 1 species
GGCGGCGUGCCUAACACAUGCAAGUCGAGCGGGACAUGCGACGGAUAGGAAGUAGUUCGGUUGGACGUUGAAGAUGCGUUGUUCUAGCGGCGGACGGGUGAGUAACGCGUGAGCAACCUGUCCCUUACAGGGGGAUAACACAGCGAAAGUUGUACUAAUACCGCAUGAGACCACGGGAGGACAUCCUCCAGGGGUCAAAGGAGCAAUCCGGUAAGGGGUGGGCUCGCGUCCGAUUAGAUAGUUGGUGAGGUAACGGCCCACCAAGUCGACGAUCGGUAGCCGACCUGAGAGGGUGAUCGGCCACAUUGGGACUGAGACACGGCCCAAACUCCUACGGGAGGCAGCAGUGGGGAAUAUUGGGCAAAUGGGGGAAACCCUGACCCAGCAACGCCGCGUGAGGGAAGAAGGUUUUCGGAUCGUAAACCUCUGUCCUUGGUGAAGAGGAAGAGACGGUAGCCAAGGAGGAAGCCCCGGCUAACUACGUGCCAGCCGCGGC